rnacentral:rRNA from 1 species
UACGGGGGGGGGCAAGCGUUGUUCGGAAUUACUGGGCGUAAAGGGCCAGUAGGCGGCCAACUAAGUCGGAUGUGAAAUCCCCAGGCUUAACCUGGGAACUGCAUCCGAUACUGGAUGGCUUGAAUUCGGGAGAGGGAUGCAGAAUUCCAGGUGUAGCGGUGAAAUGCGUAGAGAUGCGGAGGAACACCGAUGGCGAAGGCAGCCCCCUGGGCCAACACUGACGCUCAGGCACGAAAGCGUGGGGAGCAAACAGG